rnacentral:rRNA from 1 species
CAGCCGCCGCGGGAAUACGGAGGAUCCAAGCGUUAUCCGGAAUCAUUGGGUUUAAAGGGUCCGUAGGCGGUCUUGUAAGUCAGUGGUGAAAGCCCAUCGCUCAACGGUGGAACGGCCAUUGAUACUGCAGGACUUGAAUUAUUGGGAAGUAACUAGAAUAUGUAGUGUAGCGGUGAAAUGCUUAGAGAUUACAUGGAAUACCAAUUGCGAAGGCAGGUUACUACCAAUUGAUUGACGCUGAUGGACGAAAGCGUGGGUAGCGAACAGGAUUAGAUACCCGAGUAGUCCCUGUCUCUUAUAA